GGGGAAAUAGUUUGAUUUCUGAGCUCGAUUUGGGGCGAAGGAGCAGCAACCCAAUUUCUGCAAUUUCGCCUAAAUUUCUGCAAAUCGCCCAAUUUCUGAAAAUUUAUGUUCAUUUAAGAUCUGGUGAGGUAAGGGCGGCCAUGUAGGUGGGGGACGUCGGCGGCGAGAUUCGAGAUCAAUUCGUCGAACUUGCUCCUUGCCGACUGCAAAUUUCAUUAAUUUCUUGCAAAUUUCUUCUCUCUUUUCUUGUUGUUGUUCGUCCAGUUCAUGUUUUAAUUGCUUGAAAAUUUGUUGCUUUU
rnacentral:lncRNA from 1 species